GCCACAUGUAUAACUUAGUCAACAGAGUAUGAGACUCUUAAUCCCAAGGUCAUGGGUUCGAGCACCAUGGUGGGCA